GACGAACGCUGGCGGCGUGCCUAAUACAUGCAAGUCGAGCGAAGUUUUUCUGGUGCUUGCACCGGAAAAACUUAGCGGCGAACGGGUGAGUAACACGUAAAGAACCUGCCUCAUAGACUGGGACAACUAUUGGAAACGAUAGCUAAUACCGGAUAAUAGCAUUAACUGCAUGGUUGAUGUUUAAAAGUUGGUUUUGCUAACACUAUGAGAUGGCUUUGCGGUGCAUUAGCUAGUUGGUGGGGUAAAGGCCUACCAAGGCGACGAUGCAUAGCCGACCUGAGAGGGUGAUCGGCCACACUGGGACUGGGACACGGCCCAGACUCCUACGGGAGGCAGCAGUAGGGAAUCUUCCGCAAUGGGCGAAAGCCUGACGGAGCAACGCCGCGUGAGUGAAGAAGGAUUUCGGUUCGUAAAGCUCUGUUGUUAGGGAAGAAUGAUUGUGUAGUAACUAUACACAGUAGAGACGGUACCUAACCAGAAAGCCACGGCUAACUACGUG
rnacentral:rRNA from 1 species